GCGGGUAUGAUGGAAUUGGUAGACAUGCGAGAUUUAGGUUCUCGUGAAGCGAUUCGUGUGGGUUCGAGUCCCACUACCCGUACCA
rnacentral:tRNA from 2 species